rnacentral:rRNA from 1 species
GACGAACGCUGGCGGAAUGCUUUACACAUGCAAGUCGAACGGUAGAGGGGGCAACCCCUUGAGAGUGGCGAACGGGUGAGUAAUGUAUCGGAACGUGCCCAGUCGUGGGGGAUAACGUAGUGAAAAUUACGCUAAUACCGCAUACGAUCUAUGGAUGAAAGCGGGGGAUCGCAAGACCUCGCGCGAUUGGAGCGGCCGAUAUCAGAUUAGGUAGUUGGUGGGGUAAAGGCUCACCAAGCCAACGAUCUGUAGCUGGUCUGAGAGGACGACCAGCCACACUGGAACUGAGACACGGUCCAGACUCCUACGGGAGGCAGCAGUGGGGAAUUUUGGACAAUGGACGCAAGUCUGAUCCAGCCAUUCCGCGUGCAGGACGAAGGCCUUCGGGUUGUAAACUGCUUUUGUACGGAACGAAAAAGCUCUUAUUAAUACUAGGAGUCCAUGACGGUACCGUAAGAAUAAGCACCGGCUAACUACGUGCCAGCCGCCGCGGUAA